rnacentral:rRNA from 1 species
AUUGAACGCUGGCGGCAUGCCUUACACAUGCAAGUCGAACGGUAACGCGGGGCAACCUGGCGACGAGUGGCGAACGGGUGAGUAAUGCAUCGGAACGUGCCCAGUAGUGGGGGAUAGCCCGGCGAAAGCCGGAUUAAUACCGCAUACGACCUACGGGUGAAAGGGGGGGAUCGCAAGACCUCUCGUUAUUGGAGCGGCCGAUGUCAGAUUAGGUAGUUGGUGGGGUAAAGGCCUACCAAGCCGACGAUCUGUAGCUGGUCUGAGAGGACGACCGGCAACACUGGGACGGGGCCACGGCCCAGACUCCUACGGGAGGCAGCAGUGGGGAAUUUUGGACAAGGGGCGCAAGCCUGAUCCAGCCAUGCCGCGUGCGGGAAGAAGGCCUUCGGGUUGUAAACCGCUUUUGUCAGGGAAGAAAUCUUCUGGGUUAAUACCUCGGGAGGAUGACGGUACCUGAAGAAUAAGCACCGGCUAACUACGUGCCAGCAGCCGCCGUAAAAC